CAGGCUAAUAAAUUUUACCAGGAUUAUCCGGCCUAAUCACCGAAACAGCCCUGCCAUAUUUCUCCUCUGGGACAGGUAAGGAAACUGAGGUUGGAGGAGGACACCGGGAGCCUGGUCAGGCCGCUGGCAGCCUGGAGACCCAGAGGUCCAGGCAUUCACCGCCCUCCACACCACCGCCCCUCCCUCCCAGGCCCAGGAGUCUUCAUUCCCAGCAUAUUCACCUGUCAAUAACUCAGGCCCCCCGCAAUCGUCAGGUGAUGGCCUCCCUGUGUGUGGCUGCCAGGCUAGGGAUGGGGGUGUCUGUGCUUCCCUCGCCCAAGCUGAGAGUGGCCUGUUCCCAGGGGGCGGGCUUCCUCUUUGGUUGGCAGCCUGGAGUCUGGAGUGCAGGUGCCGGGCAGGCAGCACUGGGAGCGCUCGGCGACUUGGCUGGAGGCCGAAGGUGCCGCCCCUCGGGGACCAGAGCGUCUUUGCAAGCCCAUAGAAGAAACAGUGAAGAGUAAGAGGAAAAGGCUGCCAGAAGGGGAGUCUCACAACAGGAAGAAGUAACAGCUACGCAUAGAGGAAGGGAAGCUGUUCAAGAGCGGGCCCAGGAACACAACACAGAACCAUUGUCGUGGUUGGGGAACUCCAGAGUCCCACAUCACAGUUCAGCAUGUGCCUCAGGAGCUUCAGCAAGUCUUUCGUGGAAGGAGAGUCUGCCGGUGACGGGGGAAGCAGGCCAUCAGCCCGCCCAGCUUCAUCUCAGGCCGCUUCCAACACCGCCAAGCAAACUCCCUUGGCAAGAUCCAUGCAAGGCCGCGGCUGACCACCGGGAGGCAGCAGCCUACUCUGCAAGGCACUUUCUUUACCCGACCCCCACCCCCUUUUAACAGGUGGCAGGAAACCUGCUGGCCCAGCCAUCUGCCGCACCCACCCUUCACUCCCAGUCCCAUCUCCCCAUAGCACAGAUUUCCCUAUCAUGAGCCCUGACGUGACCUGGGUGUCCUCUUGCCUUCCUCUGCCCAAGGAAUUCCUACAGAGAUUCUUUCUCUAUCCUCCUUUGUACAUUUCCAAGGAAUUGUUUCCCCAGGGCCCCUCCCCUUGAAGAAAUUAGACAGGAAGCUGGAGUAGAUGGUUCCCUCUUUCCCACCUCUCACACUCCCAAGCUCUGGUUAACUCUCUGUGGGCCAGUGGCUAGAUUCCCCAACACAGAUGACAACUGAACAAUACACAUGCAGCGUAAGAAUGUUGUCGCUGCCACCAGCCACUUACAGAUACACCAUUGCUAAGGUCCACCCAACUGGACUGUUUCCCCCUCCCAUAGACUAAGCCCCAAAGGCCAAAAAGUAAAACCCGCUACCCCAAACCUGCCUGUAACUGUUUGACCAGAGGCCAGCUGUCCCAGGAUGCGGUUAAGACGUCUACUUUGCACAAGAGAACUGGCAAGAAAAACAUCUCCAGGAAGCGGUCAGACACAUGGCACAAAGGACCCCCCCCCUUUUCUUUUUCCUUCACCCUGAUCCAGUUCUAUGUCCUAUAAAACCUUGCUCUAGCCUAUAAGUGGGGCUGCCUUCUCUGCUUUUGUCAAGAGGUAGCCAGGCAGGACUGACAAUAAAUCAGCUUGCCUGAACUUGGGUCUAUUGGCCUCAUUCCUUUCUUGGCUGUCCUUCCAAUUAUCCCUUACAACCAUCUCCCACCCUCUGAAGGCACUGCACCCAAUACCCCGCCAUUCACAGUCUGGUCAGGGCUGUCCGUGCAGGACUUGUCAUGGCUGAGGACCAGCUAGCCUCAAGCCACUCUGAAGUCAGCUUGCUGUUUCCCCUGGAGCCUGGAAAUACAUCCCUCUUCAGGUAAACAAAAGCAGAAAAAGCCCAGUGAACCCCACUGUAACAAAGAAA
rnacentral:lncRNA from 1 species